UGCCACCGCCGCGGUAAUACGGAGGGUGCAAGCGUUAUCCGGAAUCACUGGGUUUAAAGGGUGCGUAGGCGGCUAUAUAAGUCAGGAGUGAAAUGUUCCCGCUCAACGGGAGAGCUGCUUUUGAUACUGUAUAGCUUGAAUUAGGUUGAGGUUAGCGGAAUGUGACAUGUAGCGGUGAAAUGCAUAGAUAUGUCAUAGAACACCAAUUGCGAAGGCAGCUAGCUGGACCUUAAUUGACGCUGAGGCACGAAAGCGUGGGGAGCGAACAGGAUUAGAUA
rnacentral:rRNA from 1 species